GUGGGGAAUUUUGCGCAAUGGGGGAAACCCUGACGCAGCAACGCCGCGUGAGUGAUGAAGGCCUUCGGGUCGUAAAGCUCUGUCAGAGGGGAAGAAAUGCAGGGGUGCUAAUAUCAUCUUUGCUUGACGGUACCCUCAAAGGAAGCACCGGCUAACUCCGUGCCAGCAGCCGCGGUAAUACGGAGGGUGCGAGCGUUGUUCGGACUGAUUGGGCGUAAAGCGCGUGUAGGCGGUUUGGUAAGUCUGAUGUGAAAGCCCCGGGCUCAACCUGUGAAGUGCAUUGGAAACUGUAUGACUUGAAUACGGGAGAGGGUAGUGGAAUUCCUAGUGUAGGAGUGAAAUCCGUAGAUAGUAGGAGGGACACCGGUGGCGAAGGCGGCUACCUGGACCGAUAUUGACGCUGAGACGCGAAAGCGUGGGGAGCAAACAGGAUUAGAAACCCUGGUAGUCC
rnacentral:rRNA from 1 species